CAGUAGCCGCGGGAAAACGAAGGGGGCUAGCGUUGCUCGGAAUGACUGGGCGUAAAGGGCGCGUAGGCGGCGGCCAAAGUCAGGCGUGAAAUUCCUGGGCUCAACCUGGGGGCUGCGCUUGAUACUUGGUUGCUUGAGUGGGGAAGAGGGUCGUGGAAUUCCCAGUGUAGAGGUGAAAUUCGUAGAUAUUGGGAAGAACACCGGUGGCGAAGGCGGCGACCUGGUCCUUUACUGACGCUGAGGCGCGAAAGCGUGGGGAGCAAACAGGAUUAGAUACCCCUGUAGUCCCUGUCUCUUAUAC
rnacentral:rRNA from 1 species